rnacentral:rRNA from 1 species
AGGCAGCAGUUAGGAAUUACUGGACGUAAAGCGCACGUAGGCGGCUUUGUAAGUUAGAGGUGAAAGCCUGGAGCUCAACUCCAGAACUGCCUUUAAGACUGCAUCGCUUGAAUCCAGGAGAGGUGAGUGGAAUUCCGAGUGUAGAGGUGAAAUUCGUAGAUAUUCGGAAGAACACCAGUGGCGAAGGCGGCUCACUGGACUGGUAUUGACGCUGAGGUGCGAAAGCGUGGGGAUCAAACAGGAUUAGAUACCCGAGUAGUCC